UAUGCCAGUCUAUAUGGUUUUAUUUUCUUUAAUUCGAUUUUUGUCCUUCUUAGUCACCUAAGAAAAAGAGAAAAUCAAAACCAAAACCAAAACCUUUGGUUCGAUGGAGGAAACGGGACAAAGACGGCAACAUUGUUCCCCUAAGACGCAAGUCCCCCUCAUCAAACUCAUGUGCGAAACGGGUCAGAUCAUCCACUCCCAGUGUUCCUGAGGGGGUUUCUGUACAGAUGCCCGAUGACCAAGAGGAAGGACUUGAGAAUGCACUAAAAGAACUUGAGAGUCUUCUCAGUGUUUCACACGAUGACACCGAUGUCGUUAUUGAUGCCAGCACACCAACAACAGCCAGCGACUGGAAGACUCGAAACAUCUUCUCGUCAGAGAGAUGGAAGGAA